GGGUUGUGAGGUUAAGCGACUAAGCGUACACGGUGGAUGCCCUGGCAGUCAGAGGCGAUGAAGGACGUGCUAAUCUGCGAAAAGCGUCGGUAAGGUGAUAUGAACCGUUACAGCCGGCGAUGUCCGAAUGGGGAAACCCAGUGCAAUUCGUUGCACUAUCGUUAACUGAAUACAUAGGUUAACGAAGCGAACCGGGGGAACUGAAACAUCUAAGUACCCCGAGGAAAAGAAAUCAACCGAGAUUCCCCCAGUAGCGGCGAGCGAACGGGGAGCAGCCCAGAGUCUGAAUCAGCUUGUGUGUUAGUGGAACGGUCUGGAAAGUCCGACGGUACAGGGUGAUAGUCCCGUACACCAAAAUGCACAGGUUGUGAACUCGAAGAGUAGGGCGGGACACGUGGUAUCCUGUCUGAAUAUGGGGGGACCAUCCUCCAAGGC
rnacentral:rRNA from 1 species